rnacentral:rRNA from 1 species
AAGCUUAGUGGCGAACGGGUGAGUAACACGUGAAGAACCUGCCCUUCAGUGGGGGACAACAGUUGGAAACGACUGCUAAUACCGCAUAAGCGCACAGUACCGCAUGGUACGGUGUGAAAAACUCCGGUGGUAUGAGAUGGACCCGCGUCUGAUUAGGUAGUUGGUGGGGUAACGGCCUACCAAGCCGACGAUCAGUAGCCGACCUGAGAGGGUGACCGGCCACAUUGGGACUGAGACACGGCCCAAACUCCUACGGGAGGCAGCAUG